GAUGAACGCUGGCGGCGUGCCUAAUACAUGCAAGUCGAGCGAAUGGAUUAAGAGCUUGCUCUUAUGAAGUUAGCGGCGGACGGGUGAGUAACACGUGGGUAACCUGCCCAUAAGACUGGGAUAACUCCGGGAAACCGGGGCUAAUACCGGAUAACAUUUUGAACCGCAUGGUUCGAAAUUGAAAGGCGGCUUCGGCUGUCACUGAUGGAUGGACCCGCGUCGCAUUAGCUAGUUGGUGAGGUAACGGCUCACCAAGGCAACGAUGCGUAGCCGACCUGAGAGGGUGAUCGGCCACACUGGGACUGAGACACGGCCCAGACUCCUACGGGAGGCAGCAGUAGGGAAUCUUCCGCAAUGGACGAAAGUCUGACGGAGCAACGCCGCGUGAGUGGUGAAGGCUUUCGGGUCGUAAAACUCUGUUGUUAGGGAAGAACAAGUGCUAGUUGAAUAAGCUGGCACCUUGACGGUACCUAACCAGAAAGCCACGGCUAACUACGUGCCAGCAGCCGCCGCGG
rnacentral:rRNA from 1 species